UCUACUGCUUUCCCAGGCCACUAGCAGGGAGCUGGGUAUGAAGCAUCUGGGACAAGAACUGGCAUCCAUUUGGGACCCAAGCACUUACAAGAUGAGAAUGCUGAAACUCAAUGAAAGCAAAAUAUCAUGGUCAAGUUCAAACUGCUAGGGACAGACCUUCAAAACCAAAGCUGAUCACCUCCAAAACCAGCCAUUUUUCUGCGUUUAUUGUUGUUCUUCUAUUACUUUUUUUCUGACAAUUUCCUUCAGUAGAGUCUUAUUUUAUUGGAAAAUUGAAAGGGUGGAUAUGGAAGGAUCUGCAAUCUCUAACUUCCAUGAGGAAAAAACAAAACAAAACAAA